rnacentral:misc_RNA from 1 species
UGAAGAAAAAGCAUCGGCUAACUCCGUGCCAGCAGCCGCGGUAAUACGGAGGAUGCAAGCGUUAUCCGGAAUCAUUGGGCGUAAAGGGUCCGCAGGUGGCGAAUAAAGUCUGCUGUUAAAGACCGGGGCUAAACUCCGGAAAGGCAGUGGAAACUGAUUAGCUAGAGUACGGUAGGGGUAGAGGGAAUUCCCAGUGUAGCGGUGAAAUGCGUAGAUAUUGGGAAGAACACCGGUGGCGAAAGCGCUCUACUAGGCCGAAACUGACACUGAGGGACGAAAGCUAGGGUAGCGAAAGGGAUUAGAUACCCCUGUAGUCUUAGCGGUAAACGAUGGAUACUAGGUGUAGCUUGUAUCGACCCGAGCUGUGCCGAAGCUAACGCGAUAAGUAUCCCGCCUGGGGAGUACGCACGCAAGUGUGAAACUCAAAGGAAUUGACGGGGGCCCGCACAAGCGGUGGAGUAUGUGGUUUAAUUCGAUGCAACGCGAAGAACCUUACCAGGGCUUGACAUGUCGCGAAUCUAGCGGAAACGUUAGAGUGCCUUAGGGAAUGCGAACACAGGUGGUGCAUGGCUGUCGUCAGCUCGUGUCGUGAGAUGUUGGGUUAAGUCCCGCAACGAGCGCAACCCUCGUCCUUAGUUGCCAAUAUUAAGUUAGGCACUCUAGGGAGACUGCCGGGGACAACUCGGAGGAAGGUGGGGAUGACGUCAAGUCAGCAUGCCCCUUACGUCCUGGGCGACACACGUACUACAAUGGUUGGGACAAAGGGCAGCAAACUCGCGAGAGUAAGCGAAUCUCAUCAAACCCAGCCACAGUUCAGAUUGCAGGCUGCAACUCGCCUGCAUGAAGUGGGAAUCGCUAGUAAUCGCAGGUCAGCAUACUGCGGUGAAUUCGUUCCCGGGUCUUGUACACACCGCCCGUCACACCAUGGAAGCUGGCUACGCCCGAAGUCGUUACCCUAACCCGGUUUUGGGAGGGGGAUGCCGAAGGUAGAGCUAGUGACUGGGGUGAAGUCGUAACAAGGUAGCCGUACCGGAAGGUGUGGCUGGAUCACCUCCUUUACAGGGAGACCUAGUCUAAUUACCAAUAGAUAAAAAAGUUGGUAAUUCGCAAGAAUCCUUAGGUCGUGAGGGGAGCAAGAAAAAACUUUCAAACUGUAAUGGGUGAGGGUCAAUGGGCUAUUAGCUCAGGUGGUUAGAGCGCACCCCUGAUAAGGGUGAGGUCCCUGGUUCAAGUCCAGGAUGGCCCACCUAAAAUACACAGGCAUCCUGCCUGUGCCACAAAAAAAGGAAAAAGUUUUGGCAUUGUCUCUUGUAAUCAAGAGCAAGAGAUAAUGCUGGAAUAGAUU